ACAGCUGGGCUCCAAGAAUGAUUUGGCGGGAAUAGGCUUUCCCCCUCUCCUUUAUAAAGCAUGUCCUCAGUUAAAAUUUUGAACCUUGAGCAGACUAGUUGUCUUGGUUCCAUUAUUUCUCUACCCGCCUAGAUUCCCUCUUCUCUUCCAGUUCCAAGAUGCCUUCCAGGCUCAAACCCGGACAUGAGAGCCGGCCCCAACAAUUUGGCGAACCAACACUGGGCCUGGGAAAGGCAGAGGGCAUUUGGAAGAAGCACUGCUGUCUUGGAGCUCCAUGGAAGAAGAAAAGAAUUAAAGAAAAUUCGUACCAGAGAAUAUGGAGGACAGUUGCCACAGUACACAUUUGGGAAUCAAAGGACAUCUUCCUGCAGCCUCUUUUCCUCUUUACUUAUGUAUAUCUAAAGAAUCAAACUUGUUUGUAUAGCUUAACAAUGGCAGGUACCUCUACCAAUUUAUCUACUGCACCAGCCCACAAAAUUUUAAAUCCUGAAGAAAUGUUCAAAUACUUUUGAAUGUAAAUACAAAAAAAUAUGAAUAUAUAAUCUAAGCCUAGUACUCCUUCCUUUAUUUAUUUACCUGUUCAAAUGCGAGUUGGAGAGGAUCUUUGAGUUUGCAGAAUCCUAUGGUUUGCAGAAAAUAUAUAAAGGGACUCACAAGAUGCCUGUGGAACCACAUGAUGAAAAGAGGGAAUUGAUACAAACAAGCUGUCUUGCCAAUCACAUGCACACUCACACACACACACACACACACACACACACACACACACACCCCACAUGCAUUCCUUGGAGGGCACACAAACAAAUGUAAUUUUAAAAAAUUAAAAAGGAAAUAUAUAAGUUCCCUGUGUACAGACAAUCUAUUUUGUUAAAGGUAAUAAUGAAAGAAGGAAGAGAAGAAAAUGUGAAAGUCAACUGAUCAAUCAAAAGUGAUCAAAAUAGAAGCCAUAAGAAUACUAGCUAUAAAAUCCCUAUGGCAUGAACAAGC
ensembl:lincRNA 9330185C12Rik RIKEN cDNA 9330185C12 gene